rnacentral:rRNA from 1 species
GAUGAACGCUGACAGAAUGCUUAACACAUGCAAGUCUUUGGCGAAGCUGUGCUUGCACCGCCUAGCCAAGGCGGACGGGUGAGUAACGCGUAAGGAACUUGCCCUGCAGUCAGGGAUAACAGACGGAAACGACUGAUAAGACCUGGUAAAGUCAGGCGGACUCAUGUCCAGCCUGAUGAAAAGAGAUGCUGCAGGAGAGCCUUGCGUCCUAUUAGCUUGUUGGUGGGGUAACGGCCCACCAAGGCGAUGAUAGGUAGCCGGCCUGAGAGGGUGGACGGCCACAAGGGGACUGAGAGACGGCCCUGACUCCUACGGGAGGCAGCAGUGGGGAAUAUUGGACAAUGGGGGCAACCCUGAUCCAGCAAUUCUGUGUGCACGAUGAAGGUUUUCGGAGUGUAAAGUGCUUUCAGCAGGGAAGAAAAAAAUGACGGUACCUGCAGAAGAAGCGACGGCUAAAUACGUG